rnacentral:rRNA from 1 species
AUUCCCCUAGUAACUGCGAGUGAAGAGGGAAAAGCUCAAAUUUAAAAUCUGACAGUCUAUGGCUGUCCGAGUUGUAAAUUAGAGAAGUGUUAUCUGCUCAAGCCUGUGCAAAAGUCUCUUGGAAAAGGGCAUCAUAGAGGGUGACAAUCCCGUCUUUGGCACAGAUCACUUGCGCUUUUGUGAUGCGCUCUCAAUGAGUCGAGUUGUUUGGGAAUGCAGCUCCAAAUGGGUGGUAAAUUCCAUCUAAAGCUAAAUAUUGGCGAGAAACCGAUAGCGCACAAGUACCGUGAGGGAAAGAUGAAAAGAACUUUGAAAAGAGAGUUAAACAGUACGUGAAAUUGUUGAAAGGGAAACGCUUGGAGUCAGUCGUGUUCUGCAAAAUCAACCUAACCUUUGGUUGGGUGUAUUUUUUGUAGAAUGGGUCAGCAUCAAUUUUGAUUGUUGGAAAAAGGACUUGGGAAUGUGGCAUCUUUGGAUGUGUUAUAGCCCUUGUUUGUAUACAAUGAUUGGGAUUGAGGAACUCAGUGUGACWUUUGUUUGGGGGCAUUGCCUCUACAUCAACGCACUUAGGAUGCUGGCAUAAUGGCUUUAAUCGACCCGUCUUGAAACACGGACCAAGGAGUCUAACAUGCAUGCAAGGGUUUGGGUGGAAAACUCAAGCGCGUAAUGAAAGUGAAAGUUGAGAACCCUGUCGUGGGGUGCAUCGACGCCCGGUCUYGACCUU